rnacentral:lncRNA from 1 species
GAGGAACCAGAGGAGCAGAUCCUGCUAGGAGGCUAAGCAUGAAGAAGGAAUUCAAAGAAACCUUGUGGAGAACGAAGACACAGCAGGGAGUCUCUGAUCAAGUGCCACAUCUUUAGAGAAGCUUUUCCAAACAACCGUAACUUUUCAGACAUGAAUUGGAAUAAGAUAAGGCCAACUUGCUCAACUACAUUCCUUACUAAAACAUAAUAACUAAAAGCUACAGUGUGCAUUUCAUGUUUCACAUGUUCUGUUGCAGUGCCAAGACUAGGUUUAAGCAAUUCAGCUGCACAGUUACCAACCACUUCUUCUUGGAAGAUUUACCUACAAUCUAACUGAUAUACUUAACAAAAUUAUAUUUUUAAUAUUGAUUGUACAAUUUUUUACUCCUUAAUUGUAUCUGACAGCUUCUUAUACUUUAAACUUGAUCAACAGUAAAUUGUGAAGAGAGUAACUAUACACCACAUGGCUUGACAAUAUCCAAACAUCAUUCUUGUUCUACAAAAGUUACAAAUGGAGAAGCCCUGGGAGAAUGCAGUCCACAGGGGUCUUUACAGUGUUCCAUAAUCAACUAUUUCUUGAACAAGAAUCAUGUGUACCACUAUAAAGUACCAACUUCAAUUCCAAGUGGAGCAUUUCACAUUGAGAAAGACCCCAACAGAAGUUAGAGUCUCAGCAUCAAGGAUUUUCCCAUGGUGAUUGGAAUAUACAUGGAAGUGAUAUUCAGUAAUUUAAUGACAGCAGAUCCAAACAUAUAAG